rnacentral:tRNA from 1 species
GCGCCCGUGGCCUAAUGGAUAAGGCGUUUGACUUCUAAUCAAACGAUUGUGGAUUCGCGUCCUACCGGGCGUG